ensembl:lncRNA
CACUAGAGAAUGUUGCCAGGUGUUCUCUUUAGCAUAUCAGAACCCACUAGAGAAUGUUGCCAGGUGUUCUCUUUAGCAUAUCAGAACCACUAGAGAAUGUUGCCAGGUGUUCUCUUUAGCUUAUCAGAACCACUAGAGAAUGUUGCCAGGUGUUCUCUUUAGCAUAUCAGAACCACUAGAGAAUGUUGCCAGGUGUUUCUCUUUAGCAUAUCAGAACCACUAGAGAAUGUUGCUGGGUGUUUCUCUUUAGCAUAUCAGAACCACUAGAGAAUGUUGCUGGGUGUUUCUCUUUAGCAUAUCAGAACCACUAGAGAAUGUUGCCAGGUGUUUCUCUUUAGCAUAUCAGAACCACUAGAGAAUGUUGCCAGGUGUUCUCUUUAGCAUAUCAGAACCACUAGAGAAUGUUGCUGGGUGUUUCUCUUUAGCAUAUCAGAACCACUAGAGAAUGUUGCCAGGUGUUUCUCUUUAGCAUAUCAGAACCACUAGAGAAUGUUGCCAGGUGUUCUCUUUAGCAUAUCAGAACCACUAGAGAAUGUUGCCAGGUGUUUCUCUUUAGCAUAUCAGAACCACUAGAGAAUGUUGCCAGGUGUUUCUCUUUAGCAUAUCAGAACCCACUAGAGAAUGUUGCCAGGUGUUUCUCUUUAGCAUAUCAGAACCCACUAGAGAAUGUUGCCAGGUGUUUCUCUUUAGCAUAUCAGAACCACUAGAGAAUGUUGCCAGGUGUUCUCUUUAGCAUAUCAGAACCACUAGAGAAUGUUGCUGGGUGUUCUCUUUAGCAUAUCAGAACCCACUACAGAAUGUUGCCAGGUGUUCUCUUUAGCAUAUCAGAACCCACUAGAGAAUGUUGCCAGGUGUUUCUCUUUAGCAUAUCAGAACCACUAGAGAAUGUUGCCAGGUGUUCUCUUUAGCAUAUCAGAACCACUAGAGAAUGUUGCCAGGUGUUCUCUUUAGCAUAUCAGAACCACUAGAGAAUGUUGCCAGGUGUUCUCUUUAGCAUAUCAGAACCACUAGAGAAUGUUGCCAGGUCUUCUCUUUAGCAUAUCAGAACCCACCUUCCGGUUACUAGUCCAACGCUCUAACCACUAGGCUACCCUGCCGCCAGGGAGAGUGUGAUGUCAUAUCGGUGACAUAUCGGUGACUGAAGAGUCAUUCUCCCAACACGUUUAGAAAAAGAGGGAAUAUGAGCAACUGUAAGCACACAGAUGAUGUUGGCAGGUGUUCCAUAGGGAUUAUCCCUUUACAAUACUAGUUGUUUGCUCUGAGUCUCGCCGCUCUCGAGUAGCACCUACUGAAGAAUAGAGUUUAAAUAUGUGGCUUGGCAGGAAGUGUUAACCCCUCCAAUUCCCAGACCACAGGAUACACACAAGGACUAAUAUGUCCAUACUAACCAUUUUGGUGUUAGUCAGCAAUCUGGUGUUAAACUAUGUUGACAUGAAAAAGUGCUGGAAAAGCAUGCAGACAUUUCGGAAUAGCAGAGACUAAAGAGACAAGUGGAGACAGGAACACCAAAUCAGUCCAUUUAUCUGGGCAGGUUUCUAACCUGAUCUUCCUGCCACUGCCUUCCGUAUCAUCACUGGUAUGCUAUGAUGCUUGCAUAUACAGGAUCUAUUAAACUGUCUACUCAUAUGUCGUACCUGCAGAACCGUUGUCUGUGUUGUCUGUUGUGUUGUUCUCCACUACCUACAGAACCGUUGUCUGUGUUGUCUGUUGUGUUGUUCUCCACUACCUACAGAACCGUUGUCUGUGUUGUCUGUUGUGUUGUUCUCCACUACCUGCAGAACCGUUGUCUGUUGUCUGUUGUGUUGUUCUCCACUACCUGCAGAACCGUUGUCUGUUGUCUGUUGUGUUGUUCUCCACUACCUACAGAACCGUUGUCUGUGUUGUCUGUUGUGUUGUUCUC